rnacentral:tRNA from 1 species
GGGGUUUUAUGAUCCUAUAAACAGUCCAACCUAUUUAAAUAUUCCUGCUAUUUUAUAUUUUCUUGAAAAGGGUGCUCAACCUACAGGAACUCUUUUUGAUAUUUUCAAAAGGGCGGGGGUUGUUUCGAAAUUUCGUAAGAAAUUCAAUUAAUAAAAAAAGGGAGAAGGGGGAAAUUAUUAUUUAGUUUUUUAACGUUUUUCUAGUAGAUCCCCCUCUCCCUCCCUUUAUUUUUUAAUAUUUGCUUUCUUAACACUCUUUUUUACCCUGUCUUCUUUUAUAUAUAUUGACAAGAGUCUAUUGAGCAAAUAUAAUUCGAUCGGGGAUAAACGGAUCCAUUUACUCGCUUUGUUUUUUACUUGGCUUCAGUCAAAAUAGAUUUUUGCGUUUUUUUAUUUUGAUUUUUAUCUGAAAAAUAUUCUCUUUUUUGACUCUUAAAUAAAUGGGAAUUUCUUCAAUUAUUCUUACUUUAACUUUAAGAAUUGAAAAUUUUCGAUGGGUUUUUUGCUAUUUUGUGUUUUGAGUGGGUUGUUCAAUUUGAUCUCUUUAGUUUUUUAUCCAACCCAACAUUGCCAAUUUUUUGUUCUUCGGGUUGCUAACUCAACGGUAAAGUACUCGGUUUUAAAA